UCCAAAUCCUGCGUGUUCGGUUACCGGUUGCCUUUCCGGUUUCCUUCUUCUUAUAUGGUCAAAGCGGUGCAUAGGUCCCACCUCGAAAAAUCUAGACUCAGCGGCCUCAACCCCAUCUCUAUUUUCCUCCCCAAUCCCAUCGUCCCAGUCAAAUAAAAUUCCAUGGCCGCCGCCCACCUCCACCCCAACGAUCGGCUCUCUCCUCUCCCUCCAUUGCUGCGUGUGCUCAGGCGUCCAUCAGGGUGGCACGCCACCCAAGCUGAGCUCCUACUUUGCCGGUGCUUGGUGGCUAUGGGGUGGCCAUGGGGUGGCCCAGGGCUGAGCUCCUAUGUGGUUGGUGGCUGGUGGCCAUGAGGCCAACCCACCGGCCGAGCGGCGUUGCCGCUCCUGAUCAUCCCAAUUCCCUAUCUCAUAUACCACUGUUGAAUCGAGCCAGUGUCGCUUGCCGUUUCUUCGGCGAGGUCGAUUUUCCAUUGGAGGGAGAUCCGGCGGCACCGGAUGAGCGACAGGGUGAUAAUACCAGGAAGAAGAGGAGAGAACCACUGAGAUAAGGAACAACAGCACCCGGCCAGUACCUGAUGUUGCUACUGCUAACUAGCCCUUGGAGAGGACAAGCGAGACAUGCACACAUCGCCCAGCGGAAAUGCAACAUGCUUGGCAAGUUCGUCCGCGGCGUCCAUCUCACCGGACCACCGGGACCCUGGGUAACCUGCUAUGGAACCUCUACCUCCUCUCAUCUAGGUCCAUCCACCAAGUUCCAGCUAGACCUGCAUCAAUGCAACAAUUCUCAACGAGUUGUUAUUUGUAUUGCAAGCUGUUGUAUAGAUUAUAGACUUUUUUACCAAUUCAAUGCUUCGCCUAAACUGAUCCUUUUUUUUUGGUGAACUCAGGUUUUGAGUACUGGAAAGAAGAAGGUUCACAUGGACACAAUUAUCCUGUUGGAUUCAAGAUUCAAGACCAUCAGGAGAGGAUAAUCAAGGUGCAUAUAAAUAUGUCCAUUCUAAAUAAAGAGGUUCCAAAUCUCUAAUGCCAUCAAAGAUCAAUUUCAGGCCGUGUUAUCUUGUGCAAAUGUAGCCUGAAUACGUGAAACUGUUUCUUAUCUUCAAAUUCCUGAUAGUGGAUGGUGGCACAGCCUGACCAGGAGCAACAGCUCCAUCCCCUCCAACCCAACUAGGAUGUGACCCAUGUACGACUGGCCACCAGAACGAGAGCCACCGAGGGGAGAUGGUCUUCGCGACCGAAAAGCUUCAACAAGCAUGCUGGCAGGACUGAAGGGUUCUUUGGUUCUCUUUUACAGGACAGAUGGCAAACACCAUCUUCUCUGAAGGCUAAACUUACCAAAUUAUGGUGGAAGUUGCUUACUCCUACAACCGAAGGUGGUUGCGGUGCUGGUGAGGGAUUUGACGUGAAAAAAGGUGGAGAUACACAUGUUUUUCAGGUAGGAUUUUCUUCGGUUGGGAAAUCAAUGUUGUUGAACAAGUUGAGAGGAUCUUUUACGGAGGUCUGCUCUUGCUGUCUAAUAAGAUUACUUGCACUUUCCUGGACUACUGUGUUAGCUUCAGUACUGAUAUAAUAAUGCAUUCUUUGUGCUUCUUAUUUGGUUCACAAGGUUGCAUCCUACGAGUUUACGACUUUACUAUGCAUUCCUGGAGUUAUUAUGUACAAAUGAGCUAAAGUUCAGGUGACUUCCAGCUUUCAAGAAGGAAGCUACUAAGUUUCCCUUUGUUAGCAGAGCAUAGUUUUUAACCGCCUCUACUUCGUAUUCAACUUCUCAAUCUCCCGUGAAUCAUUGAAGAAGCUAAAUAUGGAAAGGGUAGAGGGAGGCAGUGAUCAGAAACCGAGCCAGCUUCGCCUAGGUCCCAUCUGAGCUCACCGUGGUGGUGGUGACGCUUGGCCUCGGCUACGACACUCAUGUGAUGAAUUGGCGAGUCGAGCUUGUACAACGAUCCUAACGUGGAACGGAGAAGUGAAGCGGCGGCAUCCAGGGGACGGUCACUAGUGUAUUGCUUUGGUGGCCCAUCACUGAGUUGUGGCUUGCUGACUCUGCAAGACUGUCGAAUUGUUUUGGUUUUGGAAUCGGCUGAUCCGGCAUUGUAAAUAGUGACACAAGCAGGAGGACGUGCUUCAUUUCAUGAUGUUUACAUUUUGGUUUAGAUUUAGCUAGGACAUAGCUUUAGGUCGUAGCUGCUGCUGCUGCAAUUAGCUGAAAGAUUCAGGUGCAGCAGCGAUUAGCUAGUUGUCUGCUGUGUUGGUUCAGGUCCUGAAAAUUUUCAGUCUUGUUGAAUCUUGUUGCAUCUGUGUAUUCAUUUCCCUGAACCAUGGUGUGAAGUAGGUCGAUCCAUUUUUCAUCAUGGAUUCUUUUGCUUUUCAAAACGACACAUGCUUUUGAACAUUGUGUAUGUUACAUUGAUUGAAACCAUCA